rnacentral:rRNA from 1 species
CGCGUAGGCGGUAAGAUGUGUGUGGUGUGAAAGCCCCGGGCUUAACCUGGGAAGUGCAUCGCAAACUAUCUAACUAGAGUAUAUGAGAGGGUGGCGGAAUUUCCGGUGUAGCGGUGAAAUGCGUAGAGAUCGGAAGGAACGUCAAUGGCGAAGGCAGCCACCUGGCAUAAUACUGACGCUGAGGCGCGAAAGCGUGGGGAGCGAACAGGAUUAGAUACCCUGGUAGUCCACGCUGUAAACGAUGAGGACUAGAUGUUGGUAGGGGAACCUAUCAGUAUCGAAGCUAACGCGAUAAGUCUUCCACCUGGGAAGUACGGCCGCAAGGUUGAA